CGAUGCUAAAAUGAAAUAACCACUAAUUCCUUUUAUGUUAAAAUCCUUAUUUUCCUAGAGAAAACCUCCGCGGAUCUGAUAUGUGGAGAUCAUCAUUCAGACCAGACUUUGUGUUAUCCACCAAUUGUCAAGUCAUAUCAUAUUCUUCAAGGAGUUGGUAAUUGAAACAUUAAAACAAAACAAUGGACAUCUGCUAAUUUAUACAAGGAAACUGGAAAUAUGUUGCUAGCUUUCACUCUGAAAUUAGAUCAAAUAGUUGGCUCAUAAUUGCCAUUAAAUACUACUGUUGUUUUCUGCUAUCACCAUUACCGAUAGAAUAUGGAACGUACUCAAAAGAUAAUACAACAGGAAACCCUCAAAAAAGAAACAAAAGGGUUCUGUUUUACUUUGUUUUUGUGUUUCAAGAUGAAAUUGACAUUUGAUUCGUUGGUUUCUUUACUCAGUAUAUAGAGGCUAAUUUUUCCAGACUGGGUAGAGUUGAUCAGAAUAUAAUGUGGACGAGCUCCCUUCUCCCUCAUAUCUAAUUUGGGAAUAGAGGGUCACUCAUGUGUUAAUGUUUCCUUUCUUAAGUUUAAACAUUUAUUUCUCUUCUCCUUGAUAUUGAUAACACAAUUGUUUUAUCAGACUGUAGGUAAAAAUAAGCAUUGCAGAAGACUAUUGAAUCAGCAAAACAAUGCUUAU
rnacentral:lncRNA from 1 species